UCUGCCCGCUGGCGGCGUGCCUAAUACAUGCAAGUCGAGCGAACAGACGAGGAGCUUGCUCCUCUGACGUUAGCGGCGGACGGGUGAGUAACACGUGGAUAACCUACCUAUAAGACUGGGAUAACUUCGGGAAACCGGAGCUAAUACCGGAUAAUAUAUUGAACCGCAUGGUUCAAUAGUGAAAGACGGUUUUGCUGUCACUUAUAGAUGGAUCCGCGCCGCAUUAGCUAGUUGGUAAGGUAACGGCUUACCAAGGCGACGAUGCGUAGCCGACCUGAGAGGGUGAUCGGCCACACUGGAACUGAGACACGGUCCAGACUCCGACGGGAGGCAGCAGUAGGGAAUCUUCCGCAAUGGGCGAAAGCCUGACGGAGCAACGCCGCGUGAGUGAUGAAGGUCUUCGGAUCGUAAAACUCUGUUAUUAGGGAAGAACAAAUGUGUAAGUAACUAUGCACGUCUUGACGGUACCUAAUCAGAAAGCCACGGCUAACUACGUG
rnacentral:rRNA from 1 species